rnacentral:rRNA from 1 species
UGAGUGCUAGGUGUUAGGGGUUUCGAUACCCUUGGUGCCGAAGUCAACACAGUAAGCACUCCGCCUGGGGAGUACGGUCGCAAGACUGAAACUCAAAGGAAUUGACGGGGACCCGCACAAGCAGUGGAGUAUGUGGUUUAAUUCGAAGCAACGCGAAGAACCUUACCAGGUCUUGACAUCCCCCUGAAUAUCCCAGAGAUGGGGUAGGCCUUCGGGACAGGGGAGACAGGUGGUGCAUGGCUGUCGUCAG